AACCCAGAUGAGGGCACCAAGUACAUGGCCAAAGUGGGUACAAGCUGCAAGAUGGGAGGAGUUGUCCAAUGAAAGGUGACAAGCAUCAGCUCCCAAGUCACCACCUUCCUCCAACGGCUCACCAAGUUUGAGUGGAAGACAUCAAACUAGUCCAGGACGGACCACCCCAACAGAUGUGGAUCAGCAAGCAGGAGUACCAUGGGUCCGGCCUCUUCAUCGUACUUCACAAAUGCUUCUAAACAGACUGUUCCUCCUUCCCCUCCCCAACCAAAUGCCCAACAACUUCAUCUCUGUGGUAAACAACCACACCACAUUUUUCAUACAUACUCUGAAUAAAAAAAAACAAAAAAAAACUGCCAAGAUAAAGGAUGAACUGAUGUUUUGGCUAGGUUAUUCAGUGUUCUGCAGUUCCAUCUGGGGAUUUAAAA